rnacentral:rRNA from 1 species
AUUGAACGCUGGCGGCAUGCCUUACACAUGCAAGUCGAACGGUAACAGGUCUUCGGAUGCUGACGAGUGGCGAACGGGUGAGUAAUACAUCGGAACGUGCCUAGUAGUGGGGGAUAACUACUCGAAAGAGUGGCUAAUACCGCAUGAGAUCUACGGAUGAAAGCAGGGGAUCGCAAGACCUUGUGCUACUAGAGCGGCCGAUGGCAGAUUAGGUAGUUGGUGGGAUAAAAGCUUACCAAGCCGACGAUCUGUAGCUGGUCUGAGAGGACGAUCAGCCACACUGGGACUGAGACACGGCCCAGACUCCUACGGGAGGCAGCAGUGGGGAAUUUUGGACAAUGGGCGCAAGCCUGAUCCAGCAAUGCCGCGUGCAGGAUGAAGGCCUUCGGGUUGUAAACUGCUUUUGUACGGAACGAAAAGCCUUGGGUUAAUACCCUGGGGUCAUGACGGUACCGUAAGAAUAAGCACCGGCUAACUACGUGCCAGCCGCCGCGGUAAGAC